GUUUUUAUGUUGAUUUCAUAGCGGAACUUGACUUUAUAAUGAAUCCUCUUUGAUUAAAUACAAUACGUAUCUUGUUACUUUCGGGUUUGUUUUAGUAAGCAGGAACAAUUAGCCAUUGUUUACAAAAGCGAAUUAUGGAAAUAAUUUGAGUAAUUGAGAGCAGCUGCGACGUAUCAUGCAAAUGAAUUAAGGUGUUCCGGUUAAAUGAGUAUGAGAAUUGCGAUUAAGUUGCGUCUUAAUAUUUCGAUGCGUGUGCACUAUAUAGAUAAACUGUACUAUAUGGUCGUAAAAAACAU